UACGUAGGGCGCAAGCGUUGUCCGGAUUUAUUGGGCGUAAAGAGCGUGUAGGCGGCCAUGUAGGUCCGUUGUGAAAACUCGAGGCUCAACCUCGAGACGUCGAUGGAAACCAUCUGGCUAGAGUCCGGAAGAGGAGAGUGGAAUUCCUGGUGUAGCGGUGAAAUGCGCAGAUAUCAGGAAGAACACCUAUGGCGAAGGCAGCUCUCUGGGACGGUACUGACGCUGAGACGCGAAAGCGUGGGGAGCGAACAGG
rnacentral:rRNA from 1 species